rnacentral:rRNA from 1 species
UGGGGAAUAUUGGACAAUGGGCGAAAGCCUGAUCCAGCCAUGCCGCGUGAGUGAUGACGGCCUUAGGGUUGUAAAGCUCUUUCGCCGGUGAAGAUAAUGACGGUAACCGGUAAAGAAGCCCCGGCUAACUUCGUGCCAGCAGCCGCGGUAAUACGAAGGGGGCUAGCGUUGUUCGGAAUUACUGGGCGUAAAGCGCACGUAGGCGGACCAUUAAGUCAGGGGUGAAAUCCCGGGGCUCAACCUCGGAAUUGCCUUUGAUACUGGUGGUCUUGAGUCCGAGAGAGGUGAGUGGAACUCCGAGUGUAGAGGUGAAAUUCGUAGAUAUUCGGAAGAACACCAGUGGCGAAGGCGGCUCACUGGCUCGGUACUGACGCUGAGGUGCGAAAGCGUGGGGAGCAAACAGGAUUAGAUACCCCCGUAGUCC